UGACAGUCGGGUUUUCCAGUGUACUCUGUUCACAUACCUUUACCACGUGGUUUGGAAAAGGUACAUAAAUCACAGACUGUAAACAGGUCAGUGGUAAUCAACGUCAGCUUUAAAUGGCAUAGAAAAAUAUGCAACCGCACUUUAAUUGUAGCAACUUUUUAAUGGUGAAAUAGGGUUGAAGCAAAACUUUCUUUAUUUAAAAGGAAACAAUUUGUUUGUGAUAACAUUGGCGUGAAACUGGAUAAGCAAACGCAUGAAACACACGCAACUUGAGUCACUGAAAAUAUUUGGAGGGAAGUUGAUUUUAAAACGCAUCUUUGAACAAAUCAUAACUCACCUUCGGUUCCCUCUUGGAUUCCUAAACGCCUCCGGAGGUCAGCCGUUUCGUUCUCCAGCCAGGUGAGAUGCCUGUGACUUGACCGCGCUUUAUCCAAUGUGCUGAGAAUGGCGUCGCACUGUCUGCUCUGAUUCUCAGGCACGAAGUAAACCAAGAGACUGUCACAAUUUAUUAAAUGAAUCAGAGCUAUGGCAGUGGUGGAACACCAGCCUGGCUCACAACCGAAAACUCCAACUCACCCUCAAAUGAUACUAGCCCAGAUUUCUAACACUAUAAAUUAAUAUUUUGGAAGGAUGGAUUAGAGGCAGAAUGAUGGGGGUCACAGCUCCAGCUCCACCCAACACAGGAGCGACUUCCCAUGAAGAAGAGACCCUUUCCAGUGUUCUCCUUCACGGAGGAUGGUGUCCUGUGAAACACAUCGGGGUAGAGCAUCGCAUGGAAACUGUUUGGGUUUCAAUGACCUAAACUUGCGGAAACCCAGGAAAUGGAUGUAGCAUCUGUGUGAGAUGGCCGUGGCAUGGCUCCCUCUCUCCCACCUGGGGACGGUCUGAACUGCCUCUCAACCGCAUCGCCACCCCGGGAACAACACCUCCGUCUCCAGAGAGACCAGCCUGACAGACUUACGACACCUACUGCACUAUGGAAAGCAAAGAAAUGAAGAAAAGUGUUGUUCUGUUCCCCCACAAACGUUGUAAACAGGAGUUUACUUCUGGGGGAAUAGAACAACCCCCCCCCAAAAAAAAAAAAAAAAACAGCCCAGUACUUUCUAAAACCUUUGGCUCUGCAUGAGAAGAUUUCAGAAAGUACUAAUCAUUCAUUGAAUAUACUCCUGCAAAGACUGCAGACAGCACACAGUCCUUGUUGUUGGACCAGAACAGACAUUGCAGGUCCUGUUAGAGAUGUUGCAGGUCCCUUUAGAGACAUUGCAGGUCCCGUUAGAGACAUUGCAGGUCCCUUUAGAGACUUUGCAGGUCCCUUUAGAGACAUUGUGGGUGCCAUUAGAGACAUUGUGGGUCCCGUUAGAGACAUUGCAGGUCACAUUCGAGACAUUGCAGGUCCCAUUAGAGACAUUGCAGAUUCUGUUAGAAACAUUGCGGGUCCCAUUAGAGACAUUGCAGGUCCUGUUAGAGACAUUUUCCCACAGUUGAAAAACAGAAGCAGAGGUAAAUUAGCAUUAAACCAUGUCAGCUGGGUGCGUUGCAAUCUCAUCCUGAAAUCCAAACCCAAGAAAAUAUAAAUGUUUCUUUUUUCCUGCCAACAUCAACUACUGUACAUCCGAGCCCCUCAAUUACACUGAAUAUAUCCCGGAUUUAUUCUGGA